GAUGAACGCUAGCGGCAGGCUUAAUACAUGCAAGUCGAACGGGAUUCGGGGUAGCAAUACUUUGAUGAGAGUGGCGCACGGGUGCGUAACGCGUAUGCAACCUACCUUUAACAGGUGAAUAGCCCCGAGAAAUCGGGAUUAAUACACCGUAACAUUGCGCUGUGGCAUCACAGUGCAAUUAAAGAUUUAUCGGUUAAAGAUGGGCAUGCGUGACAUUAGCUAGUUGGUGAGGUAACGGCUCACCAAGGCAACGAUGUCUAGGGGUCCUGAGAGGGUUAUCCCCCGACACUGGUACUGAGACACGGACCAGACUCCUACGGGAGGCAGCAGUAAGGAAUAUUGGUCAAUGGGCGCAAGCCUGAACCAGCCGUGCCGCGUGCAGGAAGACGGCCCUAUGGGUUGUAAACUGCUUUUGUCAGGGAAUAAACCUGUCUACGUGUAGACAGCUGAAGGUACCUGAAGAAUAAGCAUCGGCUAACUCCGUGCCAGCAGCCGCGGUAAUC
rnacentral:rRNA from 1 species